rnacentral:pre_miRNA from 1 species
UUUCCAAGCCUAGGCAUUUUCUCUUGGCAUGCUGUGCAGCUUAUUCCAGGAAACAUUAUAUUGAACUUUAGUAGAGGAAUUGCAUAUUAAAGUUUUUCUUGAAGUAAGUCAAGUAAAUAUUUUUGGUGACAGGCUACAUUUGGGAUAGCAGGGAUACCGUCUAGUGCCUAAUGCGUGCCUUUGGAUUCGAAAUGGUCAGGCCUAUCGCCCUGUGAUUGUUAUUUCUUUGUUGGGUU